CGAAGGGUGCAAGCGUUACUCGGAAUUACUGGGCGUAAAGCGUGCGUAGGUGGUUGUUUAAGUCUGUUGUGAAAGCCCUGGGCUCAACCUGGGAAUUGCAGUGGAUACUGGGCGACUAGAGUGUGGUAGAGGAUAGUGGAAUUUCCGGUGUAGCAGUGAAAUGCGUAGAGAUCGGAAGGAACAUCUGUGGCGAAGGCGACUAUCUGGGCCAACACUGACACUGAGGCACGAAAGCGUGGGGAGCAAACAGGAUUAGAUACCCUGGUAGUCCACGCCCUAAACGAUGCGAACUGGAUGUUGGGUGCAACUUGGCACCCAGUAUCGAAGCUAACGCGUUAAGUUCGCCGCCUGGGGAGUACGGUCGCAAGACUG
rnacentral:rRNA from 1 species